rfam:Pseudomonas putida S11 PPS11_c253, whole genome shotgun sequence.
UUCAAUGGCAGCCAUUCGCGGGCAGGCUUCGGCUUGGCCGGCGUCAGUGCACCGGUUUCUCACCCCGCGCAAUGGCUGCCACCUUU